UCUGAAUGUGGAGGCCAUGAUUGGCAUCCCAGGCGCGUUCGACAUUGGUGUUCCUGUAGAGGUACCUAAUGGCGAGCCCUUCAGCCUGCCGCUUUCCGGCACUCCCAUAACAUCGGACGCUGCUAGGCCCAGAUCAGUAGACCUAGUUCUUUCAUUCGAUACUACUGCAGAACCAAGCAGGCCUAGUUCAGUGAGGCCACGACAUACAAGGUUUGCUGCCUUAUCAAUCAUAACAUUGCACAUAGUGAAUAUACUUGUUUCAUUACCUAAUAAGAACUAAAUCUUUUUUGC